rnacentral:misc_RNA from 1 species
ACAGGAGAAAAUUUAUCGCCUGGAUCCCGCUAUUCGAGUCAUUCUGUAGAUGGCAAUGACAAUGUGAGUUUAAAGAUGAAACCAACCAAAAUUCCAAUAAGUCCCACAACAAACGCGAAAGUCAGGGAAAACCCUGGACUAUUUUUUCGAUAUCCCCGUCGCUUCAUCAUGUCCUGCAGGAAGGAAAAGUAAGACAAAAUGCACACAGUUCAAGUGUGAUUCUACCAAAUUGUAUAUCAUGCACAUAAUAUUCAGUGUUACAUGUACACUUCUGAUCCAUUUUCCUCAUGACAAUAACUAGUCCUUUUUCUUUUCUUCAUUUGACUAACCCUUGAAAUCAGAUUACUAGCACUUCAAAAACUGAGCCCCUCAUCAACCUCAAUUCAUGAUGAUGCAACAUGCGUCCAGAGGAGGGAAACCCAGUCAAGAUAAUCAAUUGGAAGUUUGUUAUUAAAUAUAUGACACCUUGCCUCAAAAUUAUGUAAAAUUAUUUCAAACCAAUUUGUCCUUAUGCAAGGGGAAAAAAAAAAAGACUUCGCUGUUCAAUCAUCCAGAUAGCCCCCUUCAGCAGUUUUAAGAUGAAAUCUUGUCGGAGCUAUCUAAACAAGCACCAUAUCUAUGGGUCACCCACUCACCUCCAACUGCUUAGUUGCCAGUUGCCACAAUCAUAUUUUGUAAAACAUUGACUCAUAAAUGCUCUUCAAAUGUUCAUAAGAAUUUGAUGCCAAUUGACUGUUUACAAUGGUGCAAAUAUAUAAUAAAUAAAAAAAUUCUGAAUAGGCCUUCCACAGCUGUUAUUUAAUACAAGAGCUCACCCCAGUCCCCGGGAGGUGAUAACUGCUAACAAUAUACAUUUUUGUACUUUUAUAAGGAAAAUAGAUGCUCAGGCAAAAAGGAAAAUGCUAGUCUCUAACAACAUUACUUUAACAACUAAAGAAAGUACUGACAAGUGACAAGCCAGAAAAGAUAAAAAAUAAAUAAAUAAAUAAA